CAGGAUGAACGCUAGCUACAGGCUUAACACAUGCAAGUCGAGGGGCAGCAUGAAGUUGCUUGCAAACUUGAUGGCGACCGGCGCACGGGUGAGUAACGCGUAUCCAACCUUCCCCUUACUAGGGAAUAGCCCGGCGAAAGUCGGAUUAAUGCCCUAUGUUCUCCUUUGCGGGCAUCUAACGAGGAGCAAAGAUUCAUCGGUAAGGGAUGGGGAUGCGUCUGAUUAGCCAGUUGGCGGGUAACGGCCCACCAAGGCGACGAUCAGUAGGGGUUCUGAGAGGAAGGUCCCCCACAUUGGUACUGAGACACGGACCAAACUCCUACGGGAGGCAGCAGUGAGGAAUAUUGGUCAAUGGACGCGAGUCUGAACCAGCCAAGUAGCGUGCAAGGAUGACUGCCCUAUGGGUUGUAAACUGCUUUUAUGCGGGAAUAAAGUCAGGUACGUGUACCUGUUUGUAUGUACCGCAUGAAUAAGGACCGGCUAAUCCCGUGCCAGCAGCCGC
rnacentral:rRNA from 1 species